GGUUAAAGUAGCUGGUUAGAGCGCACGCCUGAUAAGCGUGAGGUCGGUGGUUCGAGUCCACUUAGGCCC
rnacentral:tRNA from 1 species